GCAAAUCCCACCAGGUAUAAAAGCUCUCAGAGCGGCUGAAGCUGUUUGGCUUCUCUGAUUUGAUUUUGAGGGGAGUAAAGGUCUUGAUAUAGGAGAAAACUCUUCAGGGGCAUUUUGGAGACUGGCAAGAGGAAAUCAAAAGUGAAAAGGAGAAGAAUUCCCUCCUGCAACUCCAUGCACUGGCUCACCUGCUAAGCUGCUGCUGCCUGGCAAGAAAACACCUCAUGGCAGCACAGAGCUCAGACUCCCCGCCCGGACACCGUUCAGAAUACAACAGCCCACGGCACUGCACGCGUCACCCGCGGCCGGGGCCUGCCCCUCGCUCGGGAGGAGCCGCCGCGGUGGCAGCGCGCGAGCAGACCCGGCAGCGCCGGCCGGACCACGCGCCCGCGGCCGCCCGGGGCAGGCGCCCCGCCCGCCUGCUCCAGCCCCACGGCUCCCCAGCGAGUGCAGGCACGGCCACGAGGCGGGCGAGCGGCCGGGGCAGAGCCGCGGCGGGCGGGGAGCCGAGCGGCCCCCGCCCGGCGCAGUGGCAGGCCCGUCCUCGCCCACUCCUCUGCCCCGGGGGGAACGAGGGCACGGCGGGCAGGAAACGCCCCGAGGCCCGCGGCCACCCGCGGGGAUGC